CCAGAUUCCAGAAGACAAAAAGGAAAAAAAUUCCGUUUAUCUCUCUUUCUCUCGCUGAGGACUUUCAAAUUCGAAUGAGCCAAGUGUAAGACUUUUAAGAGGACCUCUUGUAUGCAUAUACUUGAAGCACUCCUAUGAUAAGGACCAAUUAAGAAGUAGGUGGGAUGUAUUAAAAGGUGAUUGGAAAGUGUGGGAACAAUUGAGAAAUCUUGACACAGGUUUAGGUUGGGAUGCAGUGAAGGGAACGAUUGCUGCUACUGAUGAUUGGUGGGACCUGAAGUUGAAGGAAUUACCCAAAGCUAAAAAAUUUCGAGAGAAAGGUCCACAGAAUCUAGAAUAACUUGAUAUAAUGUUUAGGGAUGUUGCAGCAACUGGGGUAGCUGCAUGGACCCCUUCUUCAAAUACACUCCCUCCAACAAUGCCAGAAGAGGGUGUUGGUGAUUCAGAUGGUAACUCCGAAUUUAAGGAUAACCAAUGUGACAUGAAUUUAGACAUUGAUAGUUUGCAGCAAGGACAUACUAGUCAGUCACGUAGUUCAGGACAAAAGCAAACUAGUGAAUCAAUACCCUCACAGAAGAAAAAGAAGAUAAGAGGAGCUGCAAUGUUGGACGAUCGUAUUAGUCAAUUAAUAACUAUAUGUCAAAAUAGGUUUGAACGUACUUCUCAAGAGUCACCAAGUUCAAUUGAUAAUGUCAUGACGAUUGUGAGAGCACUUCCUGGAGUGGAAAAUACGUUUGUGGUUCAAGCUUCCUAUAUCUUACUAAAAAGGUCACAUAGAGAGAUGUUCCUUACUUUCAAGGACCCAAAGUCACAGUUGGAGUGGCUACAAGAAAUGAUUUAUAACCAAAAGAAGUGACCAACCUUAUGUGGUAUUAACUAUGUUAUAUUAACUUUAAACUAAGUUAGCUAUGUUGUAUUAACUUUAAACUAAGUUAUGUGAUAUUUAGUAUUAGUUUUGGACUAAUAUAUGUAUAAUGUAAACACAUUUGA